GAGAUUUGUGUCCUGCUUUCUCCUAAGCCCUGCAGUGCACUUGCAGGAUACUUCAGGGGCUCUAGGGGUUCCAUCCCUCUCAAGACUCAUUCUGGUGAGAGCACCUCAGGGCUCUUGAAUAAAACACAAGGUGGAGACAGUGCUUAACUACUGCUAGAGCCCCAGGAGAGGCUCAGUAGGUAACAGCCCAUGCAGUAUAUGCUGAUCCAGCACAUACAAACAUCCUCUUUGCCGGGACAAGUCUGAGCUUCUCUCCUUCCUCCUUGUGCUUUUCCCUUGAGGGAUUGAAUGCAGACAGAGAAGAGGAAACUCUCCUUGGGAUGUUCGUGUACAACGUGGCAAAAGAGGCUAUUCAAACCUUCCCUCUGAAGAACACGCACAGAGCCUUUGCACACAUCAAACUUAUUGUGAAGAGCAACUGGGGAAACACAGCCUACACCUGCAUUUAUCGAGUGCAGGUUCAUGGAAAGAUGGCACAACAAGAAAACCUCAGCUGAAACCACAGAAGAAAAAGAACACAAAUAAAAAAGAGAAAUGGGGGAGGAGGGAUAAAUGGUUUGUCAGAUCAGAGUGGUGUAGAGGAUCUGUCUCUAAAGUAAGGUGUGCAGGAAGGUCCAUUGGGGGAUGGGUAGGAGCACCCGCUGACAGGGCUACAGGGCAGCCUGCAGGCAGCGGAUGUGGGUCACCCACAAUCCUUGGGACAGCUCCUUGGGGCUGCCAGGGGCUUGUGAGCUUCUUCUUUUAAUUUCCCAGUAGCGGGGCUGGAGAAGCAUUGGAUUUCCCCAGUGCACCAUCAAAGGGGUGUGUGUGAUGCCUGCCUUCUCCCGGGGGCGGUUUCAGGGGUGUGCAGCCAGCUGUGCAGCCAGGGGUACCCAGGGUUGUCAUUCCAAGUAGGGUCCCUGCACCCCAGGGGCUGCGAGUUGGAGCAGCCUGGGUGAAGUCAUCUCCCUGCUGAAAGAGGCAGCGCAGGGCAGCUGAGACCAAAGCUGAUGGACAGGCACGUGGGAGCUGCAGCUCUUGGAUGUCUGACUCUUCCUCGGCAUCUACCUGACUGUACUCCUGGGCAACGAACUCCUCAUCACCACCACAGCCUGCAACCAGUGCCUUCACACCCCAUGUACUUCUUCCUCCUCGACCUCCCCCUGCUGGACCUGUGCUCCAUGUCCACCACUGUCACUAAACCCAUUGCCAGGUCCCUCUGGAACACCAGGGCCACCUUCUUCCUGGGAUGUGCUGCCCAGGUCUUUUUCUUUCUCUCCUCAAACACAGACGAGUUUUAUCUUCUCACCAUCACGCCCUACAACCACUAUGUGUCCAUCUGCCAGCCCC